AACACACAUGGGAAACCCCAUGUAUCGUAUAGUGAAUACAUAGCUAUACGAGGGUAAACCUAGGGAACUGAAACAUCUAAGUACCUGGAGGAAAGGACAUCAACCGAGACUCCGCUAGUAGUGGCGAGCGAACGCGGACCAGGCCAGUCAUGAAUGUAAGCCAACCAGAACCUGUCAGGAAAGCAGGGCCUCAGAGGGUGAUAGCCCCGUAUGGGUAAUGCGAACAUUCAUGCUCGAGUAAGGCGGGACACGUGCAAUCCUGUCUGAACAUGGGGGGACCACCCUCCAAGCCUAAGUACUCCUCAGCGACCGAUAGUGAACCAGUACCGUGAGGGAAAGGUGAAAAGCACCCCGACGAGGGGAGUGAAAUAGACCUGAAACCGGACACCUACAAACAGACGGAGCCCAAGAUGCGUUCUGGGUGACGUCGUACCUUUUGUAUUAUGGGCCAGCGACUUAAUUUAACGAGCAAGCUUAAGCCGAUAGGCGUAGGCGUAGCGAAAGCGAGUCUGAAUAGGGCGUCAAGUUCGUUGUAUUAGACCCGAAACCUAGUGAUCUAGCCAUGAGCAGGUUGAAGGUGAGGUAACACUCACUGGAGGACCGAACGGGUGCCUGUUGAAAAAGGCUCCGAUGACUUGUGGUUAGGGGUGAAAGGCCAAUCAAACUGGGAAAUAGCUGGUUCUCCGCGAAAGAUAUUUAGGUAUCGCCUCGGACGAAUACCUCAGGGGGUAGAGCACUGGAUGGGCUAGGGGGACUUACCGUCUUACCAAACCCAACCAAACUCCGAAUACCUGAGAGUACUAUCCGGGAGUCACACGGCGGGUGCUAACGUCCGUCGUGGAGAGGGAAACAACCCUGACCUACAGCUAAGGCCCCCAAUUCGUGGCUAAGUGGGAAAGGAUGUGGAAAUCCCAAAACAACCAGGAGGUUGGCUUAGAAGCAGCCAUCCUUUAAAGAAAGCGUAACAGCUCACUGGUCUAAAUAAGGGUUUCUGCGCCGAAGAUGUAACGGGGCUCAAGCCACGAGCCGAAGCUUAGGGUGCAUCGCAAGAUGCGCGGUAGCGGAGCGUUCUGUAAGCCUGCGAAGGGCGACCCGUGAGGGCGCCUGGAGGUAUCAGAAGUGCGAAUGCUGGCAUGAGUAACGACAAACACUGUGAAAGACAGUGUCGCCGAAAGUCCAAGGGUUCCUGCGUAAAGUUAAUCUUCGCAGGGUUAGCCGGUCCCUAAGGCGAGGCCGACAGGCGUAGUCGAUGGGAAUGCAGUGAAUAUUCUGCAGCCAGUGGAUGGUGACGAAUUGCGUAUGUUGUCUGACCUUACUGGAUUGGUCGGGCCUCGAAGCAGUUCCAGGAAAUAGCCUCCACAUUAGACCGUACCCGAAACCGACACAGGUGGACUGGUAGAGUAUACCAAGGCGCUUGAGAGAACUAUGUUGAAGGAACUCGGCAAUUUACCUCCGUAACUUCGGGAUAAGGAGGCCCAUUGCUCGCGCAAGCGGGCAGUGGGGGCACAGACCAGGGGGUGGCAACUGUUUAACAAAAACACAGGGCUCUGCGAAAUCGUAAGAUGACGUAUAGGGUCUGACGCCUGCCCGGUGCCGGAAGGUUAAGAGGAGAGGUGCAAGCCUUGAAUCGAAGCCCCGGUAAACGGCGGCCGUAACUAUAACGGUCCUAAGGUAGCGAAAUUCCUUGUCGGGUAAGUUCCGACCUGCACGAAUGGCGUAACGACUUCCCUGCUGUCUCAACCACAGGCCCGGUGAAAUUGCACUACGAGUAAAGAUGCUCGUUACGCGCGGCAGGACGAAAAGACCCCGGGACCUUCACUAUAGCUUGGUAUUGGUGUUUGGUUCGGUUUGUGUAGGAUAG
rnacentral:rRNA from 1 species